CCGGCCGUGGCCGAGGACGGUGCCCACGGCGUCGGCCAGCGCGACGGAGUACGCGGCGAUGCCGCCGGGGUUCAGGAGCCCCGUCGCCGGA
rnacentral:tRNA from 1 species